AACAUGAUAAGAGCAACAUGGAGAUAGACCAAUGGGAAUGAUGAUGAAUCAGCCGAGUUGAAGACAUUGCUCUGCAUGUACGAAAAUAGAUUUCCCCAAAUGGAUGUGUUGGCCCGAGAGAUGAUAAAUUGUGCUGCCUCCCCUCUGUGCAAAUCAGGAAUGGAAAUAGACGACGCAAGGCCAGAGCAAUGUCAUGGCAAAUGAGCUUGUGCUUCUCAGCCUGCAGGUCAUAAAUAUCUGCUCUGUUACCAGCCCAGUGCCUAGAACCAUCCAAAACCCAAAUGGAGAGACAGACCCCCCCUCAAGAUAGAGCAUAGCCAUACUCACAUCAACAGCACUUCUCAAAGCAUUUUGGACAGAUCAUUGCUGGAGCCUGAAUGGUUGAACUAGAUGCUAUAUCUAACAAACUCACAAAUAUAAAACUGUUCGCAACAUGACUGGCAUCCGCUCUUCUCUUCACUGCCAAAGAAACAGUUCUUCUCUGGGGUAAUAUUAACUUGAGGAGGAAACACCUCCCAUCUGGAGCCUUUCCAACAAGUUUUCCGAGGGCGGGAGCCGUGCUUCUGGGCAUCAAGUGGUGAACUCCUCCAAGUGGUACAGCUGUGGAAGCAGACGGGUGAAUCAAUCAGCAUCUAUCCACCUGCCAUUAGCUGAGAAUGAGUCACGUGACCUCAGAUAGGAAAAGAGAUUGUCAUAACAAAGAAAUCAUGACCUCUGCUCCACAAAUAAGCCUGCUGAUUGAAGACUGCCCACCUCAGCUUCUUCCCUGACUCUGGCUACAUCAACUCCUAUUGUAAGAAACAAGCAUGGCCUGCUCUGUGAUUACCCCUGUAGUUACAGGCAGCUGUGCCCUCUGCUUUGGAAGGCAUCUCCUUUAUAAUUUCAUUCAUGUCUUUCACUAAAAAAGAUUUAUCAUCGGUAAUUUUAAUUGU
ensembl:lincRNA 4930572K03Rik RIKEN cDNA 4930572K03 gene